AGCGAGGUAUAGAGUUCCUACGUGACUUUAAAGAAUUGUAGGAACUUAAUACCGUGCUCU
rnacentral:pre_miRNA from 1 species